UACGUAGGGGGCUAGCGUUGUCCGGAAUCAUUGGGCGUAAAGAGCGUGUAGGCGGCCCGGUAAGUCCGCUGUGAAAGUCGGGGGCUCAACCCUCGAAUGCCGGUGGAUACUGUGGGGCUAGAGUACGGAAGAGGCGAGUGGAAUUCCUGGUGUAGCGGUGGAAUGCGCAGAUAUCAGGAGGAACACCAAUAGCGAAGGCAGCUCGCUGGGACGUUACUGACACUGAGGCGCGAAAGCGUGGGGAGCGAACAGG
rnacentral:rRNA from 1 species